UACGUAGGGGGCUAGCGUUGCUCGGAAUCACUGGGCGUAAAGCGCACGUAGGCGGUUCUUUAAGUCAGGGGUGAAAUCCCGGAGCUCAACUCCGGAACUGCCUUUGAUACUGGAGAUCUUGAGUCCGGGAGAGGUGAGUGGAACUGCGAGUGUAGAGGUGAAAUUCGUAGAUAUUCGCAAGAACACCAGUGGCGAAGGCGGCUCACUGGCCCGGUACUGACGCUGAGGUGCGAAAGCGUGGGGAGCAAACAGG
rnacentral:rRNA from 1 species